GAGGGCAAGUCUGGUGCCAGCAGCCGCGGUAAUUCCAGCUCCAAUAGCGUAUAUUAAAAUUGUUGCAGUUAAAAAGCUCGUAGUUGAAUUUCUGCUGCAUCGCCUUUUCUCCUUUACGAGUUUUGGCAUUGUGGCUUAUUUCGGAUUUGCUUGCAUUUCCGAAUGUUUACUUUGAGAAAAUUAGAGUGCUCAAAGCAGGCUUUUGCCUUGAAUAGUUUAGCAUGGAAUAAUAAAGUAGGACUUUGGUUCUAUUUUGUUGGUUUUAGGUACCAAAGUAAUGGUUAAUAGGAACAGUUGGGGGCAUUCGUAUUUAACUGUCAGAGGUGAAAUUCUUAGAUUUGUUAAAGACGAACUACUGCGAAAGCAUUUGCCAAGGAUGUUUUCAUUAAUCAAGAACGAAAGUUAGGGGAUCGAAGACGAUCAGAUACCGUCGUAGUCCUAACCAUAAACUAUGCCGACUAGAGAUUGGAGGUCGUCAGUUUUUACGACUCCUUCAGCACCUUGAGAG
rnacentral:rRNA from 1 species